ensembl:lncRNA
AUAUAGGGGAUAGGGUGCCGUUUGAAAAACAGCAGGGCUCGGCCUCACAAGAAACCGAUGAAAGAUAUGAAUUUGUGCAAAUUGUGAAGCAUUAAUAAAAAUACUGGAAAAACUUGAAUUUAUUAAAACAAAUAAAAAAUAAAAAAAAUGCAUCAUUAGAAAGCCAACAUUAUUUGACGAUGUCAUACUAAGUGAAAGACAACAUUCUAUAUAAUUCACAUGACUCUGAAAAUAAAAAUAAAAUGUCCAUGAGAGGCGAAUGGCUGGGGGUGACUGGUAGUAUCAGGGGGUGACUGGUAGUAGCAGGGGGUGACUGGUAGUAGCAGGGGGUAAUAGGGGGUAGCAGGGGGUGACUGGUAGUAGCAGGGGGUGACUGGUAGUAGCAGGGGGUAAUAGGGUAUCAGGGGGUGACUGGUAGUGGCUGGGGGUGACUGGUAGUAGCAGGGGGUGACUGGUAGUAGCAGGGGGUACUGGGGUAUCAGGGGGUGACUGGUAGUAGCAGGGGGUAAUAGGGUAUCAGGGGUGAGUGGUAGUAGCAGGGGGUAAUAGGGUAUCAGGGGUGAGUGGUAGUAGCAGGGGGGUGGGGGGUAAUAGGGUAUCAGGGGGUAACUGGUAGUAGCAGGGGGUAAUAGGGUAUCAGGGGGUGAGUGGUAGUAGCAGGGGGGGGUAACUGGUAGUAGCAGGGGGUAAUAGGGUAUCAGGGGGUAACUGGUAGUAGCAUGGGGGUAAUAGGGUAUCAGGGG